UUGAUGAAAAAUCCAGACAACCCGACCUGUGGACACGUAUGAAACACGAUACCCUGAAUGGUAAAUUCCUUUUGCUAGGUCCUCUGCAAAAUCAUGUACAAAGGUUACCUGAUUGGAGGAGAUAGUUCAAAAUGAUGCAAAUCUUUGGUAUUUCAGAUUUAGAAACCUCCUGCCAGAGAGUCCUUUUAAUCUGAUACAAAGGUUACCUGAUUGAGUAAUCUUCUCCUUUAUCUCGCUAUGUGUUUGCCGUGAGGGCAGAGCUACCUCCUUCCCUCACAUGUUUGCUAGUUAAUGUGUUUCCAUAAGGAUUGUGCCGUUUGG
rnacentral:lncRNA from 1 species